rnacentral:rRNA from 1 species
UACGGAGGGAGCUAGCGUUGUUCGGAAUUACUGGGCGUAAAGCGCACGUAGGCGGCUUUGUAAGUUAGAGGUGAAAGCCCGGAGCUUAACUCCGGAACUGCCUUUAAGACUGCAUCGCUUGAAUCAUGGAGAGGUAAGUGGAAUUCCGAGUGUAGAGGUGAAAUUCGUAGAUAUUGGGAAGAACACCGGUGGCGAAGGCGGCUCACUGGCUCGUUUCUGACGCUCAGGCGCGAUAGCGUGGGGAUCAAACAGG